CUCAGACAUACAAUGGUGCAAUGUUAUGAUAAAGGAUCCUCCUAUCAAAAUACUGGGUCAUAACUGCAAAAGCGACUCUAGAGGCUGUCAGGAAGACAGCCACUAGAAGCAUGUUAACCCUGCAUAGAAACAGCCAUUCCUGCAAAAUGGCAGGGUUAAAAGACAGGGGCGUGGACCCAGACCACGUCUUUGAGAGGAAGUGGUCUUGGUGCACAGUGUAAAGUGUGUUUUCAGUUUGCAUUGUUUUGGUGUAAAAUGUUAAAUUGCUGACUGUUUACACUGUAGGGAACAGCCCUGUAUGAGUGUGAUUUGAAAAAGGCAUAAAGUUGUGUUAGAAAAAGCAGAAAUCCAG